GGGGCUGUAGCUCAGUAGCAAAGCAUCUGCUUUGAGUACAGAAGGUCCUAGGUUAAACCCCCAGCAUCUUUG